AGAGUUUGAUCCUGGCUCAGGACAAACGCUGGCGGCGUGCCUAAGACAUGCAAGUCGGACGAUCCCUUCGGGGAUAGUGGCGGACGGGUGAGUAACACGUGGGCGACCUGCCCUGCAGUGGGGGAUAACAGGGGGAAACCUCUGCUAAGACCGCAUGCGAGCGUGGCCAUAGGGGGCCACGGGGAAAAGCCGGAAGGCUGCUGCAGGAGGGGCCCGCGGCGGAUUAGCUAGUUGGGGGGGUAGCGGCCCACCAAGGCGACGAUCCGUAGCUGGUCUGAGAGGACGGCCAGCCACACCGGGACUGAGAGACGGCCCGGACUCCUACGGGAGGCAGCAGUUAGGGAACUUUCACACUGGGCGCAAGCCUGAUGGAGUGACGCCGCGUGCAGGAGGAAGGCCUUCGGGUCGUAAACUGCUUUUGUGGGGGACGAGGAUGACGGUACCCCACGAAGAAGCCCCGGCUAACUACGUGCCAGCAGCCGCGGUAAUACGUAGGGGGCGAGCGUUGUCCGGAGUUACUGGGCGUAAAGGGCACGCAGGCGGUCCGACGCGUUUGGGGUGACAGCUCUCGGCUUAACCGAGAGAGCGUCUCAAAGACGGUCGGACUUGAGGGCCAGAGAGGGACAUGGAACUCCGGGUGGAGUGGUGAAAUGCGUAGAGAUCCGGAAGAACACCAAAGGCGAAGGCAGUGUCCUGGCUGGUACCUGACGCUCAGGUGCGAAAGCGAGGGGAGCGAACGGGAUUAGAUACCCCGGUAGUCCUCGCCGUAAACGAUGACCACCAGGUGUGGGAGGUAUCGACCCCUUCCGUGCCGGCGUUAACGCACUCAGUGGUCCGCCUGGGGAGUACGGUCGCAAGAUUAAAACUUAAAGGAAUUGACGG
rnacentral:rRNA from 1 species